rnacentral:rRNA from 1 species
GCCGAGUCAUUACUCCAACUGUUCGCAGAGGAGGAUGCCUAAGGCAGGACUGGUGACUGGGGUGAAGUCGUAACAAGGUAGCCGUACCGGAAGGUGUGGCUGGAUCACCUCCUUUU